GACUUAACUGUUUUUCUUUACCAUUUUUUUUCAAAACAGGUGUUUCAUAGCGUGAUACGCCGCAAUCCUUCCCAAUUUUACCGCGCAUGAUCCAAAGAUAUCAAAGGAACCUGGGAGUCAAACUUUCCACCUAAUGAGUGAUGAAGUGUCAUCACAUUCAGUGAGAUGAGGAAGUAGAGAGACAUCUUGGACACAUUGCAUUUGACCCUGGGGUUUUGGAGGGCAGCCAUGUUUGGUCACAGCAAAAGCCAGGGACAAAGGAAAGGAUUAUAUAAAUGGGGUGGAUUACAUGGCCUGUUUGGAAUCUGGAUCUCUCUGGCUGAUGUGUCUGGCAGACACCCAUUUGGACCCAAAGUCAUAUUGUCUGUGUCAGUGAAGGAGCCCCUGAGAGCAGCACUGUCUGUCUGGGCAUGACUCAUACUAAACAGUGAGUUUGAACCUUCACUAAACCCACGCCAUGGGCUAGUCAAUGGUCUGCAGUCUCCAAACUCCCUGAGUUCCCCCUACAGUCUCAACAAAAUCUAUCAUUGUGCUUUAGUACUACAUGUAGCUCCUCUUUUUCUAACUGAGACUGUAAAAUGAAUCACUUGUGAAUGUCUCAGAGAGAAAGUAAUGUGAAAGUGGAUGUCACAACACAUC